CAACUUUCAGCAACGGAUCUCUUGGCUCUCGCAUCGAUGAAGAACGCAGCGAAAUGCGAUAAGUAAUGUGAAUUGCAGAAUUCAGUGAAUCAUCGAAUCUUUGAACGCACCUUGCGCCCCUUGGUAUUCCGAGGAGCAUGCCUGUUUGAGUGUCAUG
rnacentral:rRNA from 1 species